rnacentral:rRNA from 1 species
UACGUAGGGGGCGAGCGUUGUCCGGAUUUAUUGGGCGUAAAGAGCUCGUAGGCGGCUUGGCAAGUCGGGUGUGAAACCUCCAGCUCAACCUGGAGACGCCACUCGAUACUGCCAUGGCUAGAGUCCGGUAGGGGACCACGGAAUUCCUGGUGUAGCGGUGAAAUGCGCAGAUAUCAGGAGGAACACCGAUGGCGAAGGCAGGUCUCUGGGCCACUACUGACGCUGAGAAGCGAAAGCAUGGGGAGCGAACAGG